rnacentral:rRNA from 1 species
UACAGAGGUCCCAAGCGUUGUUCGGAUUUACUGGGCGUAAAGGGUGCGUAGGUGGCGGGGUAAGUCUGGUGUGAAAGCUCCGAGCUCAACUCGGAAAAGCAUUGGAAACUAUCCCGCUUGAGGGUCGGAGGGGAGACUGGAAUUCUCGGUGUAGCAGUGAAAUGCGUAGAUAUCGAGAGGAACACCAGUGGCGAAGGCGGCUUUCUGGACAGAUACCGACGCUGAGGCACGAAAGCUAGGGGAGCAAACAGG